AAUCUAGCAUAUCAAUAAGCGGAGGAAAAGAAACUAACAAGGAUUCCCCUAGUAACUGCGAGUGAAGCGCGAAAAGCUCAAAUUUAAAAUCUGGCGGUCUUUGACCGUCCGAGUUGUAAUCUGGAGAAGUGCUUUCCGCGCUGGACCGUGUACAAGUCUCUUGGAAUAGAGCGUCAUAGAGGGUGAGAAUCCCGUCUUUGACACGGACUACCAGUGCUUUGUGAUGUGCUUUCAAAGAGUCGAGUUGUUUGGGAAUGCAGCUCAAAAUGGGUGGUAAAUUCCAUCUAAAGCUAAAUAUUGGCGAGAGACCGAUAGCGAACAAGUACCGUGAGGGAAAGAUGAAAAGCACUUUGGAAAGAGAGUUAAACAGUACGUGAAAUUGCUGAAAGGGAAACACUUGAAGUCAGUCGCGUUGUUCAGAACUCAGCCUGGCCUCGGCUUGGUGCAUUUUCUGAACGACGGGCCAGCAUCAAUUUUGAYCGUUGGAUAAAGGCCAGAGAAAUGUGGCUCCUUUGGGAGUGUUAUAGUCUUUGGUUGCAUACAAUGGUUGGGAUUGAGGUACUCAGCAUGCCUUUAUGGUCGGGGUUCGCCCACGUUCAUGCUUAGGAUGCUGGCGUAAUGGCUUUAAAUGACCCGUCUUGAAACACGGACCAAGGAGUCUAACAUGCCUGCGAGUGUUUGGGUGGAAAACCCGAGCGCGCAAUGAAAGUGAAAGUUGGGAUCCCUGUCGUGGGGAGCACCGACGCCCGGACCAGACCUUCUGUGACGGAUCCGCGGUAGAGCAUGUAUGUUGGGACCCGAAAGAUGGUGAACUAUGCCUGAAUAGGGUGAAGCCAGAGGAAACUCUGGUGGAGGCUCGUAGCGAUUCUGACGUGCAAAUCGAUCGUCAAAUUUGGGUAUAGGGGCGAAAGACUAAUCGAACCUUUUGGUCC
rnacentral:rRNA from 1 species